rnacentral:rRNA from 1 species
AUUUUUGCCGAAUUCCUUUUUAUUAAUUUUAAUUAAUUAUAUUUCAUUUUUUUUUUUUAUAUACUAAUUUUAUCAUUAUAACUAAUUUUUUAUUAUUAAAAAUUAUUUUUUUAUAUAAAUUUAAAUAUAAAUUUAAAUUUUAAAAUAAAUAAAAUUAUUUAUAAAAAAUUAUAAUUUAUAAAAAAUAUAAAUUUUAAAAUAUUUAAAUAAUUUAUUAAUUAUUAUAAAAAUUUAAUUUAAAGCUUAUCCCCUAAAAUAUUUAAUUAAAUAUAUAAUUUUAUAUAAUAAAUUUAAAAAAAAUUAUUAAAUUAAUUUAAAAUUAAAUUUUUUUCUAAAAAAACUAGAUAUUUUUAAAAACGAUUAACAUUUCAUUUCAAAUUAAUUAUUUAAAAUAAUUAUGUCACAUUAACUUUAAUAAUUAAUUAUCUCUUUUAAAUUCGAGAUAUUUUCAUUUAAAAAUACUUUUUAAUAAACUCUGAUACACAAGAUACAAUAAACUAAAUUUACUUAUAUAAUAAUUAAUUUUUAACUUUAUUUCAAAAUUCUUUCACAAUACUAUUAAACUAUAAAUUAAUAAAUUUUUUUCUAAAAAAUACUUUAACCCCCAUUAAUUAUUUUUUAUAAUUAUUUUUAUUAUUUAUUUUAUUAUAUUAAUUUACCCCCA